AGAGUUUGAUCAUGGCUCAGAGUGAACGCUGGCGGCGUGCUUAACACAUGCAAGUCGAACGGUAACAGGAAGUACUUGUACUUUGCUGACGAGUGGCGCACGGGUGAGUAAUAUAUAGAUAAUGUGCCCCUUAGUCUGGGAUAGCCAUUGGAAACGAUGAUUAAUACCGGAUACUCCUUUUCAACAUAAGUUGGAUUGGGAAAGUUUUUCGCUAAGGGAUCUGUCUAUAUCCUAUCAGUUUGUUGGUAGUGUAAGAGACUACCAAGACUAUGACGGGUAGCGGGUUUGAGAGGAUGAUCCGCCACACUGGUACUGAGACACGGACCAGACUCCUACGGGAGGCAGCAGUGAGGAAUAUUGCACAAUGGACGAAAGUCUGAUGCAGCAACGCCGCGUGGAGGAUGACGCAUUUCGGUGUGUAAACUCCUUUUAUAUGUCAAGAAAAUGACGGUAGCAUAUGAAUAAGCACCGGCUAACUCCGUGCCAGCAGCCGCGGUAAUACGGAGGGUGCAAGCGUUACUCGGAAUCACUGGGCGUAAAGGACGCGUAGGCGGGAAGUCAAGUCUGAUGUGAAAUCCUAUGGCUCAACCAUAGAACUGCAUUGGAAACUGGCUACCUAGAGUAUGGGA
rnacentral:rRNA from 1 species